CCUUUCCCAGUUUUCUGGGGGCCUCUGGAGAUUGGGAGCGUCCAGAGAAGCGCAGGCCAAGUGGACAAUUACUUUGGAUGCUAUGUACCCAAUCAUGAAUAGGUAGAUCAUAGGGAAAAAUCAGUCUCUUCGGGAAAUGUAUAAACUUUGCAACAUGGAGGGUGAAUUUCAGGGAAGUAACAGGAUGGAGAAAAGGGAGGAAAAAGGGAUGAACACUGGAUCUGAUUGGGUUCUGCAGUAUAUACACAUGCCAUCACAGAGGAAAAACUUCAACUUUUCAGGGCUGCAUUAAUCCUGACCAUGUAACCAGGAAAUUAUUCACCAACCUUGGGCUGAGAAUGAGUUACAUGAAUGGGGCAACUAAAUUGCCACACUUGAAUUGCUGGUUCUGUGUUUCACCUCAUGAUUCAUAU